UGGCUCAGGACGAACGCUGGCGGCGUGCCUAAUACAUGCAAGUCGAACGGCUUUUCUAUGGAAGCUUGCUUCCACUGAGAAGAUAGUGGCGAACGGGUGAGUAACACGUGGGGUAACCUGCCCAUAAGAGGGGGAGUAACAUCCGGAAACGGGUGCUAAUACCGCAUAGUUUUCUUGAUCGCAUGAUCGGGAAAGGAAAGACGGCCUUUGUGCUGUCGCUUAUGGAUGGACCCGCGGCGUAUUAGUUAGUUGGUGAGGUAACGGCUCACCAAGACGAUGAUACGUAGCCGACCUGAGAGGGUGAUCGGCCACAUUGGGACUGAGACACGGCCCAAACUCCUACGGGAGGCAGCAGUAGGGAAUCUUCCGCAAUGGACGAAAGUCUGACGGAGCAACGCCGCGUGAGUGAAGAAAGGUUUUCGGAUCGUAAAACUCUGUUGUCAGAGAAGAACAAGUUGGAGAGUAACUGCUCCAGCCUUGACGGUAUCUGACCAGAAAGCCACGGCUAACUACGUGCCAGCCGCCGC
rnacentral:rRNA from 1 species